ACAUGAGUAACGACAAAGGGGGUGAAAAACCUCCUCGCCGGAAGACCAAGGGUUCCUGUCCAACGUUAAUCGGGGCAGGGUGAGUCGACCCCUAAGGUGAGGCCGAAAGGCGUAAUCGAUGGGAAACGGGUUAAUAUUCCCGUACUUCUGACUAUUGCGAUGGGGGGACGGAGAAGGCUAGGUGGGCCAGGCGACGGUUGUCCUGGUUCAAGUGCGUAGGCUUGAGAGUUAGGUAAAUCCGGCUCUCUCUAAGGCUGAGACACGACGUCGAGCUGCUACGGCAGUGAAGUCAUUGAUGCCAUGCUUCCAGGAAAAGCCUCUAAGCUUCAGAUAGUCAGGAAUCGUACCCCAAACCGACACAGGUGGUCGGGUAGAGAAUACCAAGGCGCUUGAGAGAACUCGGGUGAAGGAACUAGGCAAAAUGGUACCGUAACUUCGGGAGAAGGUACGCUCUUGAUGGUGAAGUCCCUCGCGGAUGGAGCUGACGAGAGUCGCAGAUACCAGGUGGCUGCAACUGUUUAUUAAAAACACAGCACUGUGCAAAAUCGCAAGAUGACGUAUACGGUGUGACGCCUGCCCGGUGCCGGAA
rnacentral:rRNA from 1 species